rnacentral:rRNA from 1 species
GACAAACGCUGGCGGCAUGCCUAACACAUGCAAGUCGAACGGACAGAACAGGGAAGCUUUUCGGAGUGGAACUGGAAAGUUAGUGGCGGAUGGGUGAGUAACGCGUGGACAACCUACCUUGUAAAGGGGAAUAACCUCGAGAAAUCGAAGCUAAUACCCCAUAAUAACCUUGCUUCGCAUGAAGUAAGGAGGAAAGGCGGCCUUAGCGCUGUCGAUACAAGAUGGGUCCGCGUCUGAUUAGCUAGUUGGUGAGGUAAAGGCUCACCAAGGCGACGAUCAGUAGCCGGCCUGAGGGGGUGAACGGCCACAUUGGGACUGAGACACGGCCCAAACUCCUACGGGAGGCAGCAGUGGGGAAUCUUCCGCAAUGGGCGAAAGCCUGACGGAGCAAUGCCGCGUGAGUGAAGAAGGCCUUCGGGUUGUAAAACUCUGUCCUUAUCGAAGAGAGAGUGUUGUAGUAACUGACAAUACUAGGACGGUAGAUGAGGAGGAAGCCCCGGCUAACUAUGUG